GCGGGAAUAGCUCAGUUGGUUAGAGCGUCUGAUUGUGGUCCAGAAGGUCGCAGGUUCGAUUCCUGUUUCCCGCCCCA
rnacentral:tRNA from 1 species